GGAGAUUGGGCGCGGACAGACAUCUCGCCAACCCGGUCAGGUCCGGAAGGAAGCAGCCGUAACGAGAAUAGUUUGGGUCGCUGUACCAAUCUCCCAC
rnacentral:SRP_RNA from 1 species